AAAAUCACCCAAAAAUUAAUACCCUUAAGAAUCAGCAUACUGUAACAUUCUGUACUUUGUUGAAAUAAAAUUUUAAAUGUUGAAUUUUUUAACAAAAUAUUGAAAUCGAUUUAUAACAAAAGUUUAUUUACAAAACUGUCUCAUUAUUUUUAGAGUUAGUAUAGCAUGCAUCAGUUCUUUUUCCUUAUGUGUAUUUUCUGUCUGAAGCCGAUAUCCUCGUCGUCAUUCAUUAAAAUAUGAAAACAGAAUUUGGUCCUAAUCGCUAACACACUUAUUUUAUAACAUAUUCAAAGACCUCUUGGUUCGGUCUGUAAUGAAAAAGAAAUUCAUUCGUAAUUCUAUUUUCGGCAAACAUAAAGGCACAAAUAAAAUAAUACUUCCUAUUAAUGUGUAACGCUCAAAAUGACAAACCUAAAAAUAUUGAUUCAAAUGAUUGAUUUCUCUCUCAAUGUAAGUAAUUGCGAGGAAAUCUUGUUUUUUUGCUUUAUAUCUUAUAUCCAUAAUUUGCUUACUUCGUAUUUUAAGUCUGCUUCAUUCCAUUAAUAAUAUUGACCAGGACGUAUUGAAUUUGACCUGACACAGUACUGCCCCCCCCAAAGAAUUUUUUUUAUUGCGUUCAUUAACUGUCCCUCUCUCUUUGCCCGAUUGCGUGCAUUCACUCGCACCCGUCGUCGGGUUUUCCUCUCUCGGUUAGUACAGUUCGGUCGACGGUGGUACCAACGGGUUUUCUCCCUUUAAUUCUUCAAAACGAUCAGCUGACGAGUCGUUCGUUCUUGCCAGUUGUUUAAUUGCGUCUAACCGGUAGGCUAUAGGCUAUGUCAUAACCCAAGGAGUAUUAUUAUUAUUAUUAAGGCAAAUACAUAACGAAUUCUAUAUUAUAAACAUGCGACAUUAACCGGGUAUUCUUCAUGCGAACACGAUAUACUUUCUCAUAUCAAAAUACCAUCAAUUUUUACGCAAUCGAGCGCAAUUCGAGUAAAUAGCCGCUUAAAUAAUAACACGGUUUAUUGUAAACUAAUAGGCCAUAAUAAUUAAUUAUCCAGGUGCCUAAUACUCCCCCUCACACACACACACACUUACACCCUCAAAGAUAAUGUGACUAAACCUGCAAAAAAAUGAA